rnacentral:rRNA from 1 species
ACCGGCGCACGGGUGAGUAACGCGUAUGCAACCUACCUACUACUUUGGGAUAGCUCGUUGAAAGACGAAUUAAUACCUUAUAAAACAGGGGCUCCGCAUGGAGAUAUUUGUUAAAGAUUUAUUGGUAGUAGAUGGGCAUGCGUUCCAUUAGUUAGUUGGUGAGGUAACGGCUCACCAAGACAACGAUGGAUAGGGGAACUGAGAGGUUUGUCCCCCACACUGGAACUGAGACACGGUCCAGACUCC